GUGGAUUGUGGUAGGGGAGGGAGAUGGGCUACUGGUCCCCUGUUGAAGGGCUGCAGGCACUUCAUGAUGUGGAGUCCAGCUGGUUGACUGCAGCCCUCAACCCCCCCAGGCUCGGGACAUGACUGAAGAAGGAGGAACCAGGAAGUCAUGAGAUGUGGAGAAGCAGCUGUUACUCAAUAUUGCUGCUGCCAGAGGACAUCACCAAAUGUGAGAAGAGACCAGUUGAUAUUUUAAACCUUUUGAACAUUGAGCUGCCAGAGGAAGCACAGAGAAAGAGCCCUCCAUCCCCAGCAGCCAGAACUGUGGGGAGAACACACAUGGACACCCAUCCCUCCUGUUUGUUAAACAACUGAAGGUUGGAGAGAGAAAAUGAGAGGAGACAUUAUGUGGAAUCAGGCCAUGAAGAACCACAAAAUCAGUGUUUCAUUGUAAUUGUGUCUUGAUAUUGAAUAAAUACUGAACAUUCAGUUGGACUGUGUGACAAAGAAAUAUCAUGGCACAAACAUCACAAGGCAAGGUCAGAAUAUCACUCAGCAAGGUUUUUCUUUUUUUAACAUUCUGGGACACUAUACAGAUAUAGUAGCACCCAUAUUUUGGAUUUACUGGGGCAUACAUAAUCUUGAUUAGAACCAGGACAACUGCACACAAUAGCACAGACUCCAACAUGACUAAUUAUCUAAAUCAUUCAUAUUUUGUACUACUAUUGUUUUUGGCAUGUUCUUCACCAGGCAUAAAAAAUUAAAAGAGCAGUUUAAGGAAACUCUUGUAAUGCGUUUACAAAUAAAUUAAGCUUUGCCAGUCA